AGAGUUUGAUCCUGGCUCAGGACGAACGCUGGCGGCGUGCUUAACACAUGCAAGUCAAGGGGAACGGUGGGCUUCGGUUCACUUAGUAUACUGGCGAACGGGUGAGUAACGCGUAGGUGACCUGCCCUUAGGAACGGGAUAACACUGCUAACGCGGUGCUAAUACUGAAUAAGGCAAUGAGUGUAGAAUUUAUUGUUAAAGCGGGGUUUUCGGACCUCGUGCUUAAGGAUGGACCUGCGUCCCAUUAGUUAGUUGGUAGGGUAACGGCCUACCAAGGCUACGAUGGGUAGCCGACCUGAGAGGGUGGGCGGCCACACUGGGACUGAGAUACGGCCCAGACUCCUACGGGAGGCAGCAGUGAGGAAUAUUGCGCAAUGGAGGAAACUCUGACGCAGCAACGCCGCGUGUAGGAUGAAGCUUUUAGGAGUGUAAACUACUGUUAGAAGGGACGAAUAAUUGUAUUUCGAACAGGGAUACGAGAUGACGGUACCUUCAGAGGAAGCCCCGGCUAACUCCUUGCCAGCAGCCGCGGUAACACGGGGGGGGCUAGCGUUGUCCGGAAUUAUUGGGCGUAAAGGGCGCGUAGGCGGGCUGAUCAGUCUGAGGUUAAAGUCCACGGCUUAACCGUGGCAGGUCCUUGGAUACUGUCAGUCUUGAGUUCGGAAGAGGGAAGCGGAAUUCCUGGUGUAGCGGUGAAAUGCGUAGAUAUCAGGAAGAACACCGGUGGCGAAGGCGGCUUUCUGGUCCGCAACUGACGCUGAGGCGCGAAAGUGUGGGGAGCGAACAGGAUUAGAUACCCUGGUAGUCCACACAGUAAACGAUGGAUACUAGGUGUUGGGUUGUAAUGAUUCAGCGCCGGAGCAAACGCAUUAAGUAUCCCGCCUGGGGAGUACGAUCGCAAGAUUGAAACUCAAAGGAAUUGACGGGGGCCCGCACAAGCGGUGGAGCAUGUGGUUUAAUUCGAUGCAACGCGAAGAACCUUACCUGGGCUUGAAGAGGUGCUGACCUAUUCUGAAAGGGAUAUUUCCUUCGGGACAGCAUUAGAGGUGCUGCAUGGCUGUCGUCAGCUCGUGUCGUGAGAUGUAGGGUUAAGUCCCGCAACGAGCGCAACCCUUGCCCUUAGUUGCCAUCAGGUAAAGCUGGGAACUCUAAGGGGACUGCCCCGGCUAACGGGGAGGAAGGUGGGGAUGACGUCAAGUCCUCAUGGCCCUUACGUCCAGGGCUACACACGUGCUACAAUGGCCGGAACAACGGGCAGCGAGACAGAGAUGUUGAGCGAAUCUUAAAAAACCGGUCUCAGUUCGGAUUGGAGUCUGCAACUCGACUUCAUGAAGUCGGAAUCGCUAGUAAUCGCGGAUCAGCAUGCCGCGGUGAAUACGUUCCCGGGCCUUGUACACACCGCCCGUCACGCCAUGGGAGUCGGUAGCGCCCGAAGCCGGUGGCCCAACCCGCAAGGGAGGGAGCCGUCGAAGGUGAGACCGAUAACUGGGGCGAAGUCGUAACAAGGUA
rnacentral:rRNA from 1 species